ACACGACUACAUUAGAUACCCCUGUAGUCCCAGCCCUAAACGAUGCGCGUUAGGUGUAUCGGUGACCACGAGUCACCGAGGUGCCGAAGGGAAACCGUGAAACGUGCCGACUGGGAAGUACGGUCGCAAGGCUGAAACUUAAAGGAAUUGGCGGGGAGCACCACAACGGGUGGAGCCUGCGGUUUAAUUGGACUCAACGCCGGGAAGCUUACCGGAUAAGACAGCGGAAUGAUUGCCGGGCUGAAGACUCUGCAUGACCAGCUG
rnacentral:rRNA from 1 species